rnacentral:sRNA from 1 species
UAUGUAGAUAUGAAGGUAAACGUACAAU